UAUAUGUGAGGUGAGGUUUCAGCAAAGACUAGCUGUUUAAACAUCUGUAAGAUAAACAUUGGGUUCCUAUGGUAGUUGACGGUUGUGCGAGGAAACUAGAUUCACAAGCCUCUUGAAAUUUAUCUGGAAAUAGUCACUUUUCUGUGGUCAUUUUCAGCACAUUAAGAGUUCUGUUGGUAGUUUGGUUUGUUGAUGAUAAAUGGAGAGACAAUUGAAUUUCGAAAAAAAAAAAAUCAUUGCUGACUUCAUUAUUUCCUGCAGAGGCUAAAGGUUGAUAAAGCGCAGGAUGAGAAGAGAGAUGCUAAAGGGGUUCAGGUUAUGGACGUGCAGAGCCGUGAAGCGGAUACCUGUUAAAUAAAAUGGUUCAGUGGCAGAGAAACAAGUUUCCUGUACAAUUAUUGAUAACCAAUGUCUGAUGAUCAGAAUGACGUGUUGCAUCGGUACAGAAGAAAGGAAAUAUUGUAUAAAUUUUUGGAAAUUUUACUACUUGAGAUGGGGGUGCUUUAUCUUUUUCCUUUGAGGUGCAUCGCCUCAAGUGUGCGCAACCUGUUGGAUAAUUUCACUGGAAUAGACUGUAAAAUGAUGUACGAAAUCUAUACUAGUGCUAGUUGAACCCCGACUUUCACUUA